GACGAACGCUGGCGGCGUGCUUAACACAUGCAAGUCGAACGAAGCUUGAUCACGGAUUCUUCGGAUGAAGUGUGAUAUGACUUAGUGGCGGACGGGUGAGUAACGCGUGAGUAACCUGCCUUUCAGAGUGGAAUAACGUUUGGAAACGAACGCUAAUACCGCAUAACAUUACGAGGCCGCAUGACCAUGUAAUCAAAGAUUUUAUCGCUGAAAGAUGGACUCGCGUCUGAUUAGCUAGUUGGUGAGGUAACGGCCCACCAAGGCGACGAUCAGUAGCCGGACUGAGAGGUUGAACGGCCACAUUGGGACUGAGGCACGGCCCAG
rnacentral:rRNA from 1 species